rnacentral:rRNA from 1 species
AGAGUUUGAUCAUGGCUCAGGACGAACGCUGGCGGCGUGCUUAACACAUGCAAGUCGAGCGAUGAAGCUUUCUUCGGAAGAGAGCGGCGGACGGGUGAGUAACGCGUGGGUAACCUGCCUCAUACACAUGGAUAACAUACCGAAAGGUAUGCUAAUACAAGAUGAUAUAAGAGAUUCGCAUGGAUUUCUUAUCAAAGCUCCGGCGGUAUGAGAUGGACCCGCGUCUGAUUAGCUAGUUGGUAAGGUAACGGCUUACCAAGGCGACGAUCAGUAGCCGACCUGAGAGGGUGAUCGGCCACAUUGGAACUGAGACACGGUCCAAACUCCUACGGGAGGCAGCAGUGGGGAAUAUUGCACAAUGGGCGAAAGCCUGAUGCAGCAACGCCGCGUGAGCGAUGAAGGCCUUCGGGUCGUAAAGCUCUGUCCUCAAGGAAGAUAAUGACGGUACUUGAGGAGGAAGCCCCGGCUAACUACGUGCCAGCAGCCGCGGUAAUACGUAGGGGGCUAGCGUUAUCCGGAUUUACUGGGCGUAAAGGGUGCGUAGGUGGUUUCUUAAGUCAGGAGUGAAAGGCUACGGCUCAACCGUAGUAAGCUCUUGAAACUGGGAAACUUGAGUGCAGGAGAGGAAAGUGGAAUUCCUAGUGUAGCGGUGAAAUGCGUAGAUAUUAGGAGGAACACCAGUAGCGAAGGCGGCUUUCUGGACUGUAACUGACACUGAGGCACGAAAGCGUGGGGAGCAAACAGGAUUAGAUACCCUGGUAGUCCACGCCGUAAACGAUGAGUACUAUGUGUCGGGGGUUACCCCCCUCGGUGCCGCAGCUAACGCAUUAAGUACUCCGCCUGGGGAGUACGCUCGCAAGAGUGAAACUCAAAGGAAUUGACGG